ensembl:lncRNA
AGUAAAUGCGUAAAAUAAAUUACCUUGAGAGGGCCGCGCCUGCUCCGAACGCAUGGGUAAUGUGAACAGAGUGGCUGCCGCUCAAAGUAUAUUCACAGGAAAACAGGGCUGGGGGCUCACACACAAUGGACAGACACACAGGUUACUGGAAAAGUCAUCGUAUACAGACUGCACUUGUUACAGGGAAUGUUAGUUUCGGCAGUUUGCUUUCUCCAUUCAGAUUAUUCCUAUCAAAGCUCACCUGGUUUCUGAAGCAAAACUACAGGAAUUAAGGAUCCUGUGGUCCUUCAGAAGGGCUGCCUACACCCUCCUAUAUGGGCCACUGAGACUCUUUACAUAGGCUACAAAAAUUAGAUACCCCACUCAAGGGGUGCUGCGGAGCAGGCAAAGGGCAUGAAAACCACAGAUAACCAAGGCAUUUUUUUUCCAAGUGGUCAGUUUGAAAAAACAAACAAAUAAACAAAACAACUUAAUUUAGAAUCAAGAGAAAAUACUGUGUGAGAGCCAGACUGUGGGCCUGCCCUUUCUCAGGACCCACAGCCUCAUUUGUUCGUCGAGAACAGUGAGAUGUGCAGGCCCGUAGACGUGUGUCUGGGAUGAGGGGAGGGCACUGGUCACCCAUGGGUGCAGAUCAAAGGGCAGAGACAAUGGGAAGUUGCACCUCCGUCCGCUGUCACACUGCAGGGCCUCCUGCUCAUCCACAGGAGUUCCAGAGACAGCCCCCACCCAAGCCUGCACAUUAUGUAUCUCCUGGCUCAACUAUAGCCAGGCUCUUUGAAGGCCAAGUUGAGAAAAAGACAAACUUCCCUUUUCCAUAACAGAAUUCUUGCCUGCCCAUUGGUCAAGUUCUUGUUUUCAGCUUGCUUUUGUUGUUGUUUUUUUCUUUAAAAAACAAAACAAAACAAAAAAGGCAGGUAUAUAAUCUUCCAGCCUGGAACCAGCCUGCAGCCAGCCAGAUCCUGCUGAAAAGGGAGGGGCCCCUCCAGGACACCCUGGCACCGUGAGCUUGUCACCUGGAAUUUGAGAGCACAAGUCCCUCACCAACCCACCACACAACUGCCAGUCAACUCUCCUCCCCACCACAGCAGAACACAAUUCUGGCUCCACAGAUGCUGGUAGCAAGGGGCGACAAUCCCUGGGCCUCUGUUAGCU